rnacentral:rRNA from 1 species
CUAUACAUGCAGUCGAGCGGACGAUUCAAAAGCUUGCUUUUGAGAUCGUUAGCGGCGGACGGGUGAGUAACACGUGGGCAACCUGCCCUGUAGACGGGGAUAACUCCGAGAAACCUGAGCUAAUACCGGAUAAUACAUCAGACCGCAUGUUCUUUCGUUGAAAGAUGGUUCUGCUUGCCCUAUCAGAAGGGCCCCCCGCCCCUUUACUAAUUUGGGAAGGUACGGGCUCACCAGGGCGACGAUGCGUAGCCGACCUGAGAGGGGUGAUCGGCCACACUGGGACUGAGACACGGCCCAGACUCCUACGGGAGGCAGCAGUAGGGAAUCUUCCGCAAUGGACGAAAGUCUGACGGAGCAACGCCGCGUGAGCGAAGAAGGCCUUCGGGUCGUAAAGCUCUGUUGUUAGGGGAAGAACAAGUACCGCAGUCACUGGCGGUACCCUGG